rnacentral:lncRNA from 1 species
UGCUCUAUCACCUGCAUAGACAGGGCCGGAUGUGGAGAAGGAAUCUUACAGUUCAUAAACAAGAUCAUAAAAGAACAACUUGCUUUGUUACCACUUCUACUGAGGCUGUGAAACACGAGUUACUGAAAAUACUACACUGCAGCUUGUGUCCAUGAGGCUCAGGAGAAUGAGAUGCUGUGCUGCAAACAACUCAGAAGCAGGAAAGGAGAAGAAGGAGGGGAGAAAAUGAGCUGCCUCAGUAAUAUACCUCCUCUGACAAAGCUGAAAGUGCCUGGCUAUUUCUCAGCAAAUGAAAAAAAGUCUAAAGGAAUGAGGACUUGUGUGGCCUCCCCCAACCAAAAAAAUAAAAAAAGAGGAAAUGAGACUGUAAACUAUUCCUGAGGUGGAAGAAACACCAACAUGAAUUCUUGACAGAAAAAAAAAGUCCUUGUGCUGCUCCUCUGCCCCAUUUUGCAACUGUGCUAUCCUGGCAAAGACUUUUGGAUUAAAUCUACAGAUUACACUGGACCUGACUUCACUCAGAGACUGAAAUACGUGCCGCUCUCUUGAUGAGCAGAUACAUUACAUUCAAUCUAUCUAGCAGUUUUUGUCCUGCACAAGCCAAAUCUCCUUUCAACAUCAAUAUUAUUUAUUAGCUCAUGAGCUUUCCUCUGCAAGUCAUCACCAGGAGAUCUGAGAGCCUCUACAGACACUAGCAAGCCUAUUCUCAUACUGGGUGAGAGAGUGCUGGGGAAGUCAUAAGGAACCUGAAAUUUCAUGGAUGCCCAGUAACAGAUGUCUAGAACCUGUAUUCAAAGUAUGUCCAUACGAAAUGUUUAGUAAAGGUGAUUUACUCAGCAUCACUUAUCCCACUGUACAAAGAACACUGUCAUUUUAUGUGAUGAAAGUACUUAUUUACAAUGCUCUCCAGACAUACUCACAGUUCAUUAGAAGUCUAAUUGGAGGUAGGGUCUUCUGUUUUAUCCCAUCUUUGGAAAGGCACUUGGAUAAAAAUGAGCUAAGAAAACAUGCGUGUGCUUUACAAAACAAAGUAACAAGGAACUGAUUUUAAUUACAUAUAGUACCCUUGAUUUUCUUAUUUAUGCAUCCCAAGCCACUACUCUUCCCCAUUAUUACAUUUCCAGGUCUCAGUGUUUUCAUUCAAAGUUUUGAGUGCUUCUGAAAACUCAGACCAGCCCCCACCUCCCCAGCUUUAGUGAUGCUGGGGAGCACAGACAUGUGGUGUGGUGCCACCUCAGCUGUGAAUAGUUAACACUGUUAUAGUUCAAAACUUCAGCCAGGAAUGCUACCUGUGAGGGCAGAGUGCCUUGGGACAGAAAGUCCUUGGCAGGAGCUAAACCGUAAUGAGCUUAAAAUGUACUGAGGAGUUCGGCAAAUACAAAGCCAGGUCACAGAAUAGGUAGCUGCAGAAAUUUUCCUAUGUGUAAUGUUUAUAAGACAAUUAUUUACAUUAUCUGGAUGGUUUUAAUUACAGGACAGUUCAGACCAGUUUCUUUAAGUUUUCCCAAGGGGUAAUUAGUCACCCUGUGAAUUUGCAUAUUUUCCAUUGCUCUAUCGAAGCAAAUCAGCUAUACUUAUUGGAAGAUUGACCUGGCAACCUCUGUUCUUAGCAGAUUAUAGUCUGAGUUUCAUCAUGACGUCAGCUAGUAUAUUAGGAGAUGUUCUGGUCUGUACUUCUAGAGCAAGUAAACUUUGGGCUCUUCAUUUAAAAUGUGAGAAAUUUUGAGACAUGGUAAAAAGGGGUAUCUUAUUCAUAGGGGAAAGUAGCAAUGAACUACUGCCCUACAGAUGUUCACAUGUUCACUCUAUCUCCUAAAACACAGUUUGCACAAGGGAAUAAGAUAGAGUGCUAGCCUGGAGCAGAAGUCACUUCUCCAUACCAGUUCUGCAGGAUUCUACAUACCAGGUUCAGCUGAUCCUGCUGGAAUUCCUUGCUGAGCCAAAUUUUGGCUCCUACAGACCAUCUGUGCACUGCAAAGACCCUGGCUCCUUGCCUGUCUGCUACAUUGCCUCCCAAAGUACUCACAAACCAUGCAGCAGUAAGUUCCAAAUUAGUUCAUAUACGUACCGAUAAAUUCAUCUGUACAAGUUAUGCCUUGUUUUUUAAAAUAUUAUCCAAACUAAAUUUAUAUCCAAGCAAUAAUACACAAGAAGUAGCUUGCAGAUCUUUGGGGUUAAAAUGGGAAUGAAUGACCUUGAGAAGACGUUCUUUGGAGGGAGAGAGGCAAUCCAGUAGUGGAACUUAAUCUGAAUCACAUUAAUUCAAUACUACAGGUGAACAACCUUUAGUGUAACAACAGCCUGACAACAAAAGCUAGAUAUUUACACCGAUGCUCUAAUUGUUAGUCUAUUUCUUUAGAUUUGCAUCAUGUACCCAGUUUUCAAACAGGAGAACAAUUGUUUACUGUAGGUGUCCUUUUAUGAAUCAUCAACAGUGAGUGAAGAUGUACUCUUACUGCAAUCAUUUAAUAAUUAAUUAGUAAUAGGGACAUACAUGUUUAAGUGUUUUGCAUGUCGUACCUUCUGUUCUUGUUUAACAGAGACAUUUCACAGCUUGUGAAUGCUGUGCAGAUAAUAUUUUCUUCUCUUUAAAAUAAAGGAAUAAGAUGACUAUUUCAAUGUGCCUAGUGAAAUAUGACCUUUUACUGAAAAUAUCAAGAGUGCACAGAGCUCUCAAGAGUUUCAGUUUUCUGCUACAGGCAGCAGAGUGACCAUGGCAGGGGAACAGAGUGAUUCUGUUGCAUGCCACAUCUCAGGUCAAUCAUUGGCAUUGGCAUGGUCAGCAAACUCAACUCUCUUGUCCUUUUCUCCUACUUUUCUUUGUACUCUUCUGGUAAAUUCAUUAUGUUUUAAUUCUAUUCAUACAGUAACAAUUGCAGUGGAUGUCCAGGUUUGCAAAAAUGCAUUAGAUACAUUAACAGCAAUCUAAGUAGUGACUAUUAGAUCCAAGAGUUUAGAUGUGUUGCAGAUUGUUAAUGGGAAGGUAAAAAAAAAAUAAGUAAUGGUUCAUAUUAGUCUGAGAAGUUGUUCUUUCCCUAUCAGAAAUCUUCUUCCAGCUCUGCCAUGAAUUAAACUAGUUCUAGUGGCAGUCGAUCUGCACGUGGUUGCAGAUUUUUUUUUCCUCUGGAUUUUUUCCUCUGUACUAUAUAGAACUCUACUUAUAACCCACUCUUCCACAGAAUGCUUGGUACUGCUUAGGAAUAUAGACAUAAUCAUAUUUAACAAACAAAGAAGAGCUGCAAAUCCUUAGUGAAGAUGCUUGUAUAUUGGCUAAGAUAAAUCUGCCUACUGCUAGGGAAGAGAAGAGGUUAUGGGUACGUUUCAACUGAUUAAUCCAUGCCAGCAAACACUUUGAAGUCUUGUGAAAGCUCAAAGAUAAAGAGCACAGAGUAUCUGUGAAAGCAGUUCCAGUGAAAGCAGUUCCACCUAACAUAAUUUAAAUAAUUAUUCUUCUCAUCUUAACGGUAACUGAAUUAAAAGUGGUAUAUCUUUUGCCCUUUAUUUAAACCAUGUAAAAAAUAGGAUAAUAAUAAAUCUAUGCUUAAUCCAACCAAGAUCAACAAAGAUUCUAA